CCUACGGGCGGCUGCAGUGGGGAAUAUUGGACAAUGGGGGGAACCCUGAUCCAGCCAUGCCGCGUGUGUGAAGAAGGCCCUCGGGUUGUAAAGCACUUUCAGUGAGGAAGAACGCCUGGUGGUUAAUACCCAUCAGGAAAGACAUCACUCACAGAAGAAGCACCGGCUAACUCCGUGCCAGCAGCCGCGGUAAUACGGAGGGUGCGAGCGUUAAUCGGAAUUACUGGGCGUAAAGCGCGCGUAGGUGGCUUGAUAAGCCGGUUGUGAAAGCCCCGGGCUCAACCUGGGAACGGCAUCCGGAACUGUCAAGCUAGAGUGCAGGAGAGGAAGGUAGAAUUCCCGGUGUAGCGGUGAAAUGCGUAGAGAUCGGGAGGAAUACCAGUGGCGAAGGCGGCCUUCUGGACUGACACUGACACUGAGGCGCGAAAGCGUGGGUAGCAAACAGGAUUAGAUACCCUUGUAGUC
rnacentral:rRNA from 1 species